AUACGGAGGGUGCAAGCGUUAAUCGGAAUUACUGGGCGUAAAGCGCGCGUAGGUGGUCAAGUCAGUCAACUGUGAAAGCCCAGGGCUCAACCUUGGAAUUGCAGCUGAUACUGCUCGACUCGAGUAUGGUAGAGGGGUGUGGAAUUUCCUGUGUAGCGGUGAAAUGCGUAGAUAUAGGAAGGAACACCAGUGGCGAAGGCGACACCCUGGACCAAUACUGACACUGAGGUGCGAAAGCGUGGGGAGCAAACAGGAUUAGAAACCCCAGUAGUCC
rnacentral:rRNA from 1 species